GCAAGGAGAUGCAAAUAUAUCACCACAGCUAGAAAGAGCAUACUAAACUGAGUAAAAUGGCAAAAUGUUGUAAACUGCGGAAAAUAUAGUCUUGCAAAAUUUACAAAUUUUGUAUACUUUUGUAUUGCGUACGGAAAUUGCUACCAUGCAUUUUCAGCCCAGAUUUUACAAAAUUUGCGAACUUUGCAAAGCUAUAUUUUUCGCAUUUUA